UCCCUGCUGGUCCAGUGGUUAAGACUCUGCACUUCCAGUGCAGGGGUUGGGGUUCAAUCCCUGGUUGGGGA
rfam:Ovis aries breed Texel chromosome 16, whole genome shotgun sequence.